AGAUAAAGAGAGAUCAGAAAUACAAGAGGCAGAGGAAGCAAGGUGGAAGAGGAUUAAGGAAUGCAUCAAAGUAUGGACAUAGACAUGGAUAUUAGCAUUAGGACUGACUGAAAUGGAUUGGCUUGAUUUUUAAUGCCAUAUUAAUUGUUAUUUUUGUAGUUGCAACUCUACUGCCAUCUAAUAAUGAA